rnacentral:tRNA from 1 species
GCGAAGGUGGCGGAAUUGGUGGACGCGCUACCACCAGCUGUUAGUAUCCUUACCGAGUGGGGGUUCAAGUCCCCCCCCUCGCCCCA